rnacentral:rRNA from 1 species
UACGAGGGGUCCAAGCGUUGUUCGGAAUCAUUGGGCGUAAAGCGGGUGUAGGUGGCUUUGUAAGUCAGGAGUGAAAGCCCUAGGCUCAACCUAGGAAGUGCUUUUGAUACUGCAAAGCUUGAGUGUAGGAGAGGAUCGUGGAAUUCCCGGUGUAGUGGUGAAAUGCGUAGAUAUCGGGAGGAACACCAGUGGCGAAGGCGACUAUCUGGGGUGCAACUGACGCUGAGGCGCGAAGGCUAGGGUAGCAAACAGG